AAUUUUUUGGUGUUACAACCUCUAAUUUGUGUUCUUCGCCUAUAUUCUAAUUAACCGGCCUCAGAUAGGUGUGGCUACUAUAUUAGUCCACUUACAAUUGCUUAACAUAGCGCUACAUUAUCUUAUGACAAGUUAACAUAACUCUACUAACUAAUAAGUUAAAUUUGAGCUUUUAAAUUCUUGUCAUUUACUUUAAAUGUCAUUUAUUUCUUGCUCAUUAUUCAUAUUGAC
rnacentral:lncRNA from 1 species